rnacentral:rRNA from 1 species
AGAGUUUGAUCCUGGCUCAGGAUGAACGCUGGCGGCGUGCUUACCAUGCAAGUCGCACGAUGAACCUGGAGCUUGCUCUGGGGGAUUAGUGGCGAACGGGUGAGUAACACGUGAGUAACCUGCCCUGGACUCUGGGAUAACCCCGAGAAAUCGGAGCUAAUACCGGAUAGGACCUGGAACCGCAUGGUUUUGGGUGGAAAGUUUUUUCGGUCUGGGAUGGACUCGCGGCCUAUCAGCUUGUUGGUGAGGUAAUGGCUCACCAAGGCGUCGACGGGUAGCCGGCCUGAGAGGGUGACCGGCCACACUGGGACUGAGACACGGCCCAGACUCCUACGGGAGGCAGCAGUGGGGAAUAUUGCACAAUGGGCGAAAGCCUGAUGCAGCAACGCCGCGUGAGGGAUGACGGCCUUCGGGUUGUAAACCUCUUUUAGUAGGGAAGAAGGGCUUCGGCUUGACGGUACCUGCAGAAAAAGCACCGGCUAACUACGUGCCAGCAGCCGCGGUAAUACGUAGGGUGCGAGCGUUGUCCGGAAUUAUUGGGCGUAAAGAGCUCGUAGGCGGUUUGUCACGUCUGCUGUGAAAUCCCGAGGCUCAACCUCGGGCCUGCAGUGGGUACGGGCAGACUGGAGUGCGGUAGGGGAGAUUGGAAUUCCUGGUGUAGCGGUGGAAUGCGCAGAUAUCAGGAGGAACACCGAUGGCGAAGGCAGAUCUCUGGGCCGUAACUGACGCUGAGGAGCGAAAGCGUGGGGAGCGAACAGGAUUAGAUACCCUGGUAGUCCACGCCGUAAACGUUGGGCGCUAGAUGUGGGGACCAUUCCACGGUUUCCGUGUCGUAGCUAACGCAUUAAGCGCCCCGCCUGGGGAGUACGGCCGCAAGGCUAAAACUCAAAGGAAUUGACGG